rnacentral:rRNA from 1 species
UACGUAGGGGGCAAGCGUUAUCCGGAUUUACUGGGUGUAAAGGGAGCGCAGGCGGCGCGCCAAGUCUGGUGUGAAAGCCCGGGGCCCAACCCCGGGACUGCAUUGGAAACUGGCGUGCUGGAGUGUCGGAGGGGCAGGCGGAAUUCCUGGUGUAGCGGUGAAAUGCGUAGAUAUCAGGAGGAACACCGGUGGCGAAGGCGGCCUGCUGGACGGCAACUGACGCUGAGGCUCGAAAGCGUGGGGAGCAA